CCUACGGGAGGCUGCAGUGAGGAAUAUUGGUCAAUGGACGAGAGUCUGAACCAGCCAAGUAGCGUGAAGGAUGACUGCCCUAUGGGUUGUAAACGUCUUUUAUAUGGGAGUAAAAUGUUCCACGUGUGGGAUUUUGUAUGUACCAUAUGAAUAAGGAUCGGCUAACUCCGUGCCAGCAGCCGCGGUAAUACGUAGGAUCCGAGCGUGAUCCGGAUUUAGUGGGUUUAAAGGGAGCGUAGGUGGAUUGGUAAGUAAGUUGUGAAAGUUUGCGGCUCAACCGUAAAAUUGCAGUUGAUACUGGCAGUCUUGAGUACAGUAGAGGUGGGCGGAAUUCGUGGUGUAUCGGUGAAAUGCUUAGAUAUCACGAAGAACUCCGAUUGCGAAGGCAGUUCACUAGACUACAACUGACACUGAGGCUCGAAAGUGUGGGUAUCAAACAGGAUUAGAUACCCCUGUAGUC
rnacentral:rRNA from 1 species